rnacentral:rRNA from 1 species
AUUUCCUACGGGAGGCAGCAGUGGGGAAAAUUGCACAAUGGGGGAAACCCUGAUGCAGCAACGCCGCGUGAGUGAAGAAGUAUUUCGGUAUGUAAAGCUCUAUCAGCAGGGAAGAAGAAAGACGGUACCUGACUAAGAAGCCCCGGCUAACUACGUGCCAGCAGCCGCGGUAAUACGUAGGGGGCCAGCGUUAUCCGGAUUUACUGGGUGUAAAGGGAGCGUAGACGGCGGGGCAAGUCUGGAGUGAAAG